GACGAACGCUGGCGGCGUGCUUAACACAUGCAAGUCGAACGGUGAAGCCUUCGGGUGGAUCAGUGGCGAACGGGUGAGUAACACGUGAGCAAUCUGCCCUUGACUCUGGGAUAACUUCGGGAAACCGGAGCUAAUACCGGAUAUGACAUCUGGCCGCAUGGUCUGGGUGUGGAAAGAUUUAUCGGUCAAGGAUGAGCUCGCGGCCUAUCAGCUUGUUGGGGGGUAAUGGCCCACCAAGGCGACGACGGGUAGCCGGCCUGAGAGGGCGACCGGCCACACUGGGACUGAGACACGGCCCAGACUCCUACGGGAGGCAGCAGUGGGGAAUAUUGCGCAAUGGGCGGAAGCCUGACGCAGCGACGCCGCGUGAGGGAUGAAGGCCUC
rnacentral:rRNA from 1 species